AUAAUGUCCAGAAGCCUAUGGUGUGGCCACCCAAUGCAAAGCCAUUAAGCUGUUGAAGAUCUGUGUGUGCAAAUACAAGUGCUUUUCAAGGUGAAAACCUCGGAAGGUUGCAUGGACAGCACUCAAUCCAGUAGGCUGACAAUGUCAAGAAUCUCAGGGUCUGAAAGAUAUCAGUACAAGUUUAUUGCCUUCAGGAGCCACGGCUGGUAUUAAGUAUGAAAAAGCAUAGAACUUUCUGGACUGGCAUCUAUAAAGAACAAGAAGUGACAGGUGACAAAGCACACAGCAUACUUUCUCUUCCUCCUUGCUUCAGGAAAGGAAACUGAGGCAUAGGGGGGCUAAUGCACUGAAGGUCAUAUUGCUGGUGUGUGUGAAGCCAACAUUCACAGCCAAGCAUUCGAGCUCAAGAGUCUUCAGGAUAAACAACUCCAGCUGUCACCACAGCCCUGUUGCCCCAGGGAGGAAAGAAAUAUUCCCAUUAUAUGACUGAAGAAACUGAGACUUGGAAAGAUUUAGUGUUUUAAUAAUACCUUAGUACAAUAUUUAUGCUUCUUUAUCAUCUCAAGUUUUAUUGGAUUCUCCUGUCUCUUAAAUAUUUUUUAAGUGUUUAGGUAAAACAAAAAACAAACAAACAAAAAAAAAACCUCCAUGCUUUUCAUUUAUUUUUGAAUUUGCAUGUUUAUCAUUUUUAAAUUUUUAAAGCGCAUGUAGAAAUAAGAAUGUCUGUUUUAAAUAAGAUGUCUUUAGAAAAAAAAGACAUCAAUUUAAUUGAGUUCUCAAAUUAGCAAAUACUAUUUUUCCCAUUUAACAACUCUUCUGAAUUAACUUGACAGAAAGCUGACCAUUCCUGAUAGCUGGAGAUUCCUCCCAAUUUUACUUUAAAAUUUCAUUUAAGCCUCAAUAAAGAAAAAUAAAACUACCUGGAAGAUAAAUAAAAGGAUUAGAUGUAGGAAUUAAUGCUAAGAAGCUCUUUUGCAGAAGACCAGCCUGAUUCUCCACUACCUGUGUCAUUCAACGGUUGCAGAAGGGAGCACAUUUUUGGAUUACAAGUCACACCCCACAUCCUGCAACAGAACUGGACAGAUGCUCCCAAAGGUGACUGGACCAGGAUCUGACUCAUCCAUUCUGUUACUGUGAUUUGAUACUAAUAAGAAAAACAGGCAUAGUCCUCCACAUUUAAAGUAGUAAAAGCCACACUUCUGCCUUCCUCUUACCAAUGUCUCCUUCUUAUUGUUAAUCUCUUCAGCUAUUCAUCUAUGGUCAGAGUGUUAGAAAGGUGGGGUGGAAAGCGGUGGGAUGUGCUGGAGAAACAAUUGCGCAAUUCCCACUAGAAGAAGCCAUUUUCAGAUAUAGGGACACCCUGUUCCCAAAAGAAAAAGAGAUAGGGGUCAACUGAUGAAGCCUGACUGGAGUCCAGGAUUCAUCCUAGAUGAUUCAUCCUUCAUUCAUCUAGGAUGAAACCUGGACUCUACAAACUGAGCUGGGUUCUACACAUCAAUCCUAUUGUCCAAGCUAGAUGGAAGAGGGGUACUUGCCAGUGUGUAGACCCCUAUACCAAGCCAGUGCAUUCAUUGCCCAGGGAUCAUGAGCUGAACCCUUCUCCAGCAUUCAUAGGAGCUGCCACACCUAGAAAAGUAGGGAAAUUAUACCCUACCUCAGAGAUGACAUUCAGCUAAUGACUGACACUGUUGAAGGUGGGACAAUGCUGUUGGGCUGUUCACAUUCCAGAGCUCUCUGUGGGUUCAGACUAAUGAGAGACUAUUCAUGGAGCUGCUUCUUCAGCCCUAUUCUGGGUCCCAGUCUCCCUUCUAUGUAUUACCUACCAGCACUCUCAUUAAAUCACUGCACAGCAACUGCCAUCUUAGGCUCUGCUUAUAGGGACACGAACUUCAGAUAAUCUACUGAACUCAUAAAUUAGCUAUUCUACGUACACUGACUAUCUUACAAAAUGACAUAAAAACCCUAAGGUUUAGACAUGUAUUUUUUCCCUUACUUUGUAGAUUUCAAAAUCCAAUUCCAAAAUAUACAAAACUAGGAUAUUUUGUGGUUCUUGAAAUGCUUUGCCAAAUUAUUUUUGUAGGGUUUGUCCCAAUUGAACUACCUCCAGCAAUGUUUCAAAGCAGAAGUAACAGCAAAGCAGCCAGCUCUAGAAACCAGCAUUAUUCCAAACUAUUAAGGUUAUCUUGUUGCUGCUUUUAUUUGUGUAUCUUGGAUUGCAGAUGAGGUUGAACAUUUCCCCAUCUUUGUUUAUUAAUCGUGGAUCUUUCUUUGGUGAAUUUCGAAUCUUAGGAAAAAAUUCCAUCCCAGGUUUCCAAAAGUUUCGACACCAUGAGAUUAAUCUCAUCGUGUAUGAGGACUUUUCAGUUCCAUGUAAGACAAUUCCAAGUUUAAAAACUGGGCAAAGUCAUCAGGAUUGUUUUUCCUGUUAGAAAGAUUAAAGUAAAGCAGAUGUGAAACUUGCCUCCAAUCUCUUUUCUCAUACUGUAUUAUUUGUCAGGGAAUGUUAACUCUUGAACCUACAGGCAAAAAAAUGCUGCAGAAACAGUUUAACAGUCAUUAAAACUACAUUUCAUGUCACUUGAUUAACAAAAACAACUGUUUUUGUUAACCAAUGAAAAAUUUUAAUAAUAGACUUUAUUCCCUCAGCUUCUAUGGCAAACUCUCCUUGUUAUCCUUGUUCUACCUUCCUUUUCUUCCUCCUCAAGUGCCCUGAAUGUAACUUAGGUAUUCUUCCAGAUCUUGGGCCUUUUAUUAUUCCCCCUUUGCCGUCUCCCUUGGUAAUUUACUUGUAGUGUCAAUUAAACUAUCUGCAGGGGCUUUUCCAGAUCUUUCCAUUUCAGUCAGGAGUGUGACAUUUCUCAGGGCUCCCCACAAAUUUGGCAGUGCUCUCAGUGAGAGAGAACAUUAGCAAUGAGGACACUGAUGACAAAGUGCUGUCCAACAGGAAACACCACAGAAAUCAAAUGGUUAUUUCUCUGUCAUCCCCUGCCCACCACCUGGCCACUUUUCUGAUGUGUCACGACAGCUUGUUUACAUGCUUGUUAUGGGCAACAAUGACAGAAAUGGCAGACAAAUUCAGUCCAAGAUGUGUGUUCUGGCCUAUGUUAAGAACUACUUACCAAUAUCUGAUUUUCUAGUUUCCCUCAAAAAAAGAUACGUUGAUAUUAGUUUCCAAAUACCUACAUGAGAAGAAUAUAUAAAUGCUUGGUAAUAGCGCCCCUCUUUAAAUGAAGCAUGUAUCUUCUAGUUCAAUACAACCUCUACCACUCCCCAUUGCCUUAAUAAUCCCCAUCUAUCUUAUCUUGACACCCUUACCUACAUCCAAUCCUCUCUUCUCUCCCUUCCUUUUUAUAUAUUCUUUCCCUGUCUCUCCCCUCAUCUUGCUUCAAACUCACCCUCCAUGUGGCAUAGUCUAUUCACUUUAGAAUCCUUUUUGAAGUCCUCCUUCAGUAUAGAUUUUCUUGAUUGUCCAAAAUCAUCAAAACCUAUGACAUAUGUACCUGCAUAUAGUUAUCUAUAAAUAUGUGGUAACCAAUGAAUAUUGAGAGACAAGCAUGCAACAGACACUGUGCAUGGGGCUGCACAUAGAACAUAGAAUAAAAUAAAAUGUGUUCUUUGGCAGUGUGGAGUGCAUAGUUUGUGGGAAAUGCUAGGAUGAAAGGUUGAGCAGGGUGUUUUGGAGAAUAGAAGAAAGAACUCCAUCUGACACAGGAUUUUAGAGCAAGAAUUACUUGAUCUGAAACUGGAAGAAGAGGGAAUUAGCUUUAUUAAUAAAUUGAGAAGAAGUGAACUUCCGGGAAGAAAAGCAUAAUCAAAGAAGGCUCACAGGCCUGUGUGUACAGGGAACUGUAAUCAGCUACAGAAAAAGUUGCAUUUUCUGAAGUAGCAAAAAACAAAACAAAACACAAAAGACAAGGGAAGAAUCAUUCUGAUUCCCUUGAUUCAAAUCCAUGGUUUCCUUUAAUGAUAAUAUUAAUGAAAACAGGGCCUCCCCAGUGGCGCUGCGGUUGAGCGCUGGGUUGCG